rnacentral:rRNA from 1 species
UACGUAGGGGGCAAGCGUUAUCCGGAUUUACUGGGUGUAAAGGGAGUGUAGACGGCAAGGCAAGUCUGAAGUGAAAGCCCGGUGCUUAACGCCGGGACUGCUUUGGAAACUGUUUGGCUGGAGUGCCGGAGAGGUAAGCGGAAUUCCUAGUGUAGCGGUGAAAUGCGUAGAUAUUAGGAAGAACACCAGUGGCGAAGGCGGCUUACUGGACGGUAACUGACGUUGAGGCUCGAAAGCGUGGGGAGCAAACAGG